rnacentral:rRNA from 1 species
UACGGGGGGGGCAAGCGUUGUUCGGAAUUACUGGGCGUAAAGGGCUCGUAGGCGGCCAACUAAGUCAGACGUGAAAUCCCUCGGCUUAACCGGGGAACUGCAUCUGAUACUGGACGGCUUGAGUUCGGGAGAGGGAUGCGGAAUUCCAGGUGUAGCGGUGAAAUGCGUAGAUAUCUGGAGGAACACCGGUGGCGAAGGCGGCCUGCUGGGCAGUAGCUGACGCUGAUGCGCGACAGCGUGGGGAGCAAACAGG